GUGUUGGGGACUGACUUAUGCCCAAAUAACACCUGGCAAUUCUAUGUGUGGUGUAAUAUGUUCCUACCCAAUGAAACUAGAUUUUAUACUGUUGGUUUGGCGGCAGUAACUUGGGCUAUUUGGCUUGCGCGUAAUAAGGCUACUUUUGAAAAACAAUUGAUCAAAUCUCCUUUUGAGAUUGUGUAUUCGCCUUGUUCGUUUCUCUUGUAUUGGGCGGGUCUUCAGCCGGUGGAAGAAGUGGCAAGAUUGCGACUCGGAGUUGAGAUGAUUAGAGCGAGCACAACCAAGUUGAUGGCAAUGUGUGAAGGGGCCUGGCGCGCAACGGGAGACGAGGGUGAGGUGUUCUCUGGAUGA
rnacentral:rRNA from 1 species